GGCUCAGGACGAACGCWGGCGGCAUGCCUAAUACAUGCAAGUCGAGCGGACUUGAAGAGAAGCUUGCUUCUCUGAUGGUUAGCGGCGGACGGGUGAGUAACACGUAGGCAACCUGCCCUCAAGUUUGGGACAACUACCGGAAACGGUAGCUAAUACCGAAUARUUGUUUUCUUCKCCUGAAGRRAACUGGAAAGACGGAGCAAUCUGUCACUUGGGGAUGGGCCUGCGGCGCAUUAGCUAGUUGGUGAGGUAACGGCUCACCAAGGCGACGAUGCGUAGCCGACCUGAGAGGGUGAUCGGCCACACUGGGACUGAGACACGGCCCAGACUCCUACGGGAGGCAGCAGUAGGGAAUCUUCCGCAAUGGGCGAAAGCCUGACGGAGCAAUGCCGCGUGAGUGAUGAAGGUUUUCGGAUCGUAAAGCUCUGUUGCCAGGGAAGAACGCUUGGGAGAGUAACUGCUCUACAAGGUGACGGUACC
rnacentral:rRNA from 1 species